rnacentral:ncRNA from 1 species
CCCGUCCUCGACGGGCUGGGAUGUGACCGGUUGACCGGUUGAACCACUAA